rnacentral:lncRNA from 1 species
CAGUAACUGAACAAUCCUCUUAUUUCUUUGAUUUAAGGAUGGUAUUUGAAGCAAGAAGGUUCUUUGGGAAACUUUAAGGUAUGAGCCUGGCAAAGGAGGAGGCUGGCCUCGGAAAAUAAGAGCAUGCCUAUUCCAGAAAACCAAGACAGUGCACUCAUCAUGUACCUUGCCGGCUCUCCGUGACCUGUGCAUAUGUGCGCACAUCCCCACAGGCAACAGCCCUGAGAACAAUUGUCUUGGAGGAGGGAGGAAGAGACGAGGCUGAACACUGCCGUGCAGGGAAGGGAGCCAUUUUUAAAGCCCUUCUGAAAUGUUCACUUGUACACUCAAGAUCCCAAUUGUUGUGGAGCUUCAAGCAGGUG